GCUCAAUCCAAACAAUUAGUUUGUGUUCAACUUCCUAGAUACCUGCUAAAGAUCCAGUUCCUGACCGAAAGAAACUGAGGAUCAUAGUUUCCUUUUGCAUGAAAGUUAGAAGCUGGGCCAACUACGUUGAACUGGAGUUCAUUCUGAGAUUCUGAAAGCAGCAGAACUAGUGAGAGGAGCUGUCCUCUAUCCCAGUGUUAGUAAUGGUACCCAGCAGAGGUCCAAGAUCUACUGGAGUAUCCUUGUAA